UACGGGGGGGGCAAGCGUUGUUCGGAAUUACUGGGCGUAAAGGGCUCGUAGGCGGCCAACUAAGUCAGACGUGAAAUCCCUCGGCUUAACCGGGGAACUGCGUCUGAUACUGGAUGGCUUGAGUUUGGGAGAGGGAUGCGGAAUUCCAGGUGUAGCGGUGAAAUGCGUAGAUAUCGUGAGGAACACCAGAGGCGAAGGCGGCUACCUGGACAAUUGCUGACGCUCAGGCACGAAAGCGUGGGGAGCAAAAGGG
rnacentral:rRNA from 1 species